rnacentral:rRNA from 1 species
UCGCAUCUGUGCAUGCAGCAUAUCAAUAAGCGGAGGAAAAGAAACUAACAAGGAUUCCCCUAGUAACGGCGAGUGAAGCGGGAAGAGCUCAAAUUUGAAAUCUUAAAGGGUUUCCCUUUACGAAUUGUAGUUUAAAGAAGUGUUUUCUGUUGAGGUUUUGGUAAAAGUUCUUUGGAAUAGGACAUCAUAGAGGGUGAGAAUCCCGUAUUUGACCUUUACUUUCAACUUUGUGAUACACUUUCAAAGAGUCGGAUUGUUUGGGAAUGCAGUCCAAAAUGGGUGGUAAAUUUCAUCUAAAGCUAAAUAUUGGCGAGAGACCGAUAGCGAACAAGUACCGUGAGGGAAAGAUGAAAAGAACUUUGAAAAGAGAGUUAAACAGUACGUGAAAUUGUCAAAAGGGAAGCGUUUGACACCAGUGUUGUUUUUCUGAAAAUCAAUUAAAGAACUGUUUAUGCUAAGCUGUUUAGACUUUAUCAGCUAACUGUUUAGUUUUGAGCUUUUCUUUAAUGCACUUUUCAGUUAACAAGUCAACAUCAAUUUCUUUUGCUGUAAAAAAGCUUGAGGAAGGUGGCUUGAGAUUCGUCUUAAGUGUUUAUAGCCUCUUGCCUAUGCAGUCGGAGAGAUUGAGGUCUGCAGCGUAGAUCCUUCGGGGCUAAAUGCAUUUGUGCUAAGUUAUAGCAUUUUAUAGACAACUUGUUGACUAUGAUUUGUCUUGUAGCUUACUCGCUUAUGUUAUUUUACCUACGCUUAGGAUGUUGAACGCGCACAGAGUCUC